GACGAACGCUGGCGGCGUGCUUAACACAUGCAAGUCGAACGGAAAGGCCCUGCUUUUGUGGGGUGCUCGAGUGGCGAACGGGUGAGUAACACGUGAGUAACCUGCCCUUGACUUUGGGAUAACUUCAGGAAACUGGGGCUAAUACCGGAUAGGAGCUCCUGCUGCAUGGUGGGGGUUGGAAAGUUUCGGCGGUUGGGGAUGGACUCGCGGCUUAUCAGCUUGUUGGUGGGGUAGUGGCUUACCUAGGCUUUGACGGGUAGCCGGCCUGAGAGGGUGACCGGCCACAUUGGGACUGAGAUACGGCCCAGACUCCUACGGGAGGCAGCAGUGGGGAAUAUUUCACAAUGGGCGGAAGCCUGAUGCAGCAACGCCGCGUGCGGGAUGACGGCCUUCGGGGUGUAAACCGCUUUCGCCUGUGACGAAGCGUGAGUGACGGUAAUGGGUAAAGAAGCACCGGCUAACUACGUG
rnacentral:rRNA from 1 species